GAUAAACGCUGGCGGCGCACAUAAGACAUGCAAGUCGAACGGACUUAACUCAUUCUUUUAGAUUGAGAGCGGUUAGUGACGGACUGGUGAGUAACACGUAAGCAACCUGCCUAUUAGAGGGGAAUAACAGUCGGAAACGACUGCUAAUACCGCAUAACAUUUGAGGGUGGCAUCACUCUUGAAUCAAAGGAGCAAUCCGCUGUAAGAUGGCUUCGCGUCCGAUUAGACAGUUGGCGGGGUAACGGCCCACCAAAUCUACGAUCGGUAGCCGGACUGAGAGGUUGAACGGCCACAUUGGGACUGAGACACGGCCCAG
rnacentral:rRNA from 1 species